rnacentral:lncRNA from 1 species
AAUUUUUCCUUUGUUUUACAGAAUAACCGAAAACAAGGAACAGACCCCAGAAAGACAAAUGCUUCUAAACCUUCAAAGAUGGCAAAAUUGUUUACACCAGUGCGAAGGAGAUCAAAAGCUAAGAAGUACCCUGUAGCCAAGACUGCAACUUGUACUUUAAAGCCAUUAUUCAAGGUUUCUUACUUGACAGUUCCUACAUGACCCUGUUGAAAAUCUACAAUAUAUGCUGCAUUUAAUGAAACAUGUAUAUGUCAAACCAGAAGAAAAGAACUAUAAACAUAUAUUGUGUAAAGAAAAAAAUCAGCAGUGAAACCAGUUUCAGCAGAUCAAGCAAAGAUGUGUCUUGGGCAUGGAACCAAAGUUACAAUGAAACAUUCAACCCCUGCUGUGCAGGGGGGGUCAUUUUAAUGUAACACCACACCCCAUGGAAAUACCAGUCCUCAAAAUAAACACAAUUUUAAAAAAUCAAAACAAAACCAACAACAACAAAAAAAUAAGGGUGGGUGGGGAAUGAAGCACGAGGAAUA